rnacentral:misc_RNA from 1 species
UAUCCGCAGGUGAACCUGCGGAAGGAUCAUUCAUAAUAAAGUGUUUUAUGGCACUUUUUAAAAAUCCAUAUCCACCUUGUGUGCAAUGUUAGAUCUCGUCAAUCUUGGCGAGAUUUUUAUACAUCAACUCAUUCUUUAACUAAUUUGUCUGAAAAAUAUUAUGAAUACUUAAUUCAAAAUACAACUUUCAACAACGGAUCUCUUGGCUCUC